CCUACGGGUGGCAGCAGUGAGGAAUAUUGGUCAAUGGACGAGAGUCUGAACCAGCCAAGUAGCGUGAAGGAUGACUGCCCUAUGGGUUGUAAACUUCUUUUAUAUGGGAAUAAAAUGUGCCACGUGUGGGAUUUUGUAUGUACCAUAUGAAUAAGGAUCGGCUAACUCCGUGCCAGCAGCCGCGGUAAUACGGAGGAUCCGAGCGUUAUCCGGAUUUAGUGGGUUUAAAGGGAGCGUAGGUGGAUUGUUAAGUCAGUUGUGAACGUUUGCGGCUCAACCGUAAAAUUGCAGUUGAAACUGGCAGUCUUGAGUACAGUAGCGGUGGGCGGAAUUCGUGGUGUAGCGGUGAAAUGCUUAGAUAUCACGAAGAACUCCGAUUGCGAAGGCAGCUCACUGGACUGCACCUGACACUGAGGCUCGAAAGUGUGGGUAUCAAACAGGAUUAGAUACCCGAGUAGUC
rnacentral:rRNA from 1 species